AGAGUGAACGCUGGCGGCAGGCCUAACACAUGCAAGUCGAACGGCAGCACAGUAAGAGCUUGCCUCUUAUGGGUGGCGAGUGGCGGACGGGUGAGGAAUACAUCGGAAUCUGCCUAUUUGUGGGGGAUAACGUAGGGAAACUUACGCUAAUACCGCAUACGACCUACGGGUGAAAGCGGAGGACCUUCGGGCUUCGCGCAGAUAGAUGAGCCGAUGUCGGAUUAGCUAGUUGGUGGGGUAAGCCACCAAGGCGACGAUCCGUAGCUGGUCUGAGAGGACGAUCAGCCACACUGGAACUGAGACACGGUCCAGACUCCGUACGGGAGCAGCAGUGGGGAAUAUUGGACAAGU
rnacentral:rRNA from 1 species